rnacentral:rRNA from 1 species
GGAAGAUUACUAAUGAGAGUGGCGAACGGGUGAGUAACGCGUGAGCAACCUGCCUAUGACAGUGGGAUAGCCUCGGGAAACCGGGAUUAAUACCGCAUAAAAUCGUAGAAACACAUGUUUCAACGGUCAAAGAUUUAUCGGUGUAAGAUGGACUUGCGUCUGAUUAGCUAGUUGGUGAGAUAAAGGCCCACCAAGGCAACUAUCAGUAGCCGGCCUGAGAGGGUGAACGGCCACAUUGGGACUGAGACACGGCCCAAACUCCUACGGGAGGCAGCAGUGGGGAAUCUUCCGCAAUGGGCGCAAGCCUGACGGAGCAAUGCCGCGUGAGUGAAGAAGGCCUUCGGGUUGUAAAACUCUGUCCUCAUCCAAGAGAGGGGAAGGUAGUAACUGACCUUUCCAGGACGGUAGAUGAGGAGGAAGCCCCGGCUAACUAUGUGCCAGCAGCCGCGGUAAAACAUAGGGGGCAAGCGUUGUCCGGAAUCACUGGGCGUAAAGGGCGCGCAGGCGGUCUGUUAAGUCAGAUGUGAAAGGUUAGGGCUCAACCCUGAACGUGCAUCUGAUACUGGCAGACUUGAGUAUGGAAGAGGUAAGUGGAAUUCCUAGUGUAGCGGUGAAAUGCGUAGAUAUUAGGAGGAACACCAGUGGCGAAGGCGACUUACUGGGCCAUAACUGACGCUGAGGCGCGAAAGCGUGGGGAGCAAACAGGAUUAGAUACCCUGGUAGUCCACGCCGUAAACGAUGGGUACUAGGUGUCGGAGGUUUCAAGACCGUCGGUGCCGCAGUUAACACAAUAAGUACCCCGCCUGGGAGUACGU